rnacentral:rRNA from 1 species
CCUACGGGAGGCAGCAGUCGAGAAUCAUUCACAAUGGGGGAAACCCUGAUGGUGCGACGCCGCGUGGGGGAAUGAAGGUCUUCGGAUUGUAAACCCCUGUCAUGUGGGAGCAAAUUAAAAAGAUAGUACCACAAGAGGAAGAGACGGCUAACUCUGUGCCAGCAGCCGCGGUAAUACAGAGGUCUCAAGCGUUGUUCGGAAUCACUGGGCGUAAAGCGUGCGGAGGCGGUUUCGUAAGUCGUGUGUGAAAGGCGCGUGCUCAACCCGCGGACGGCACAUGAUCCUGCGAGACUAGGUGAAUGGAGGGGGAACCGGAAUUCUCGGUGUAGCAGUGAAAUGCGUAGAUAUCGAGAGGAACACUCGUGGCGAAGGCGGGUUCCUGGACAUUAACUGACGCUGAGGCACGAAGGCCAGGGGAGCGAAAGGGAUUAGAUACCCUUGUAGUC